GACGAACGCUGGCGGCGUGCCUAACACAUGCAAGUCGAGCGACGAACCAGUGCUUGCCCUGGGGCAAAGCAGCGAACGGGUGAGUAACACGUGGGUAACCCACCCCGAUAACCGGGACAACCCGAGGAAACUCGGGCUAAUACCGGAUGUGCUCACUGGACUUCGGUUCAGUGCGUAAAGGAAGCUUCGGCCUCCGUAUCGGGAGGGGCCCGCGGCCCAUUAGUUUGUUGGUGGGGUAACGGCUCACCAAGCCCGCGUUGGGUAGCUGGUCUGAGAGGACGAUCAGCCACACUGGGACUGAGACACGGCCCAGACUCCUACGGGAGGCAGCAGUGGGGAAUCUUGCGCAAUGCGCGAAAGCGUGACGCAGCAACGCCGCGUGGGGGAAGAAGGCCUUCGGGUUGUAAACCCCUUUCAGGGGGGACGAAGGUUCGGCGGUGAAUAGCCGUCCGGACUGACGGUACCUCCACAAGAAGCCCCGGCUAACUACGUG
rnacentral:rRNA from 1 species